CGGCGAGUGAAGCGGCAACAGCUCAAAUUUGAAAUCUGGCUCUUUCAGGGUCCGAGUUGUAAUUUGUAGAGGAUGUUUCGGGUGUGGCUCCGGUCUAAGUUCCUUGGAACAGGACGUCAUAGAGGGUGAGAAUCCCGUAUGUGACUGGUAGCCUAUGCCCAUGUGAAACUCCUUCGACGAGUCGAGUUGUUUGGGAAUGCAGCUCAAAAUGGGUGGUAAAUUUCAUCUAAAGCUAAAUAUUGGCCAGAGACCGAUAGCGCACAAGUAGAGUGAUCGAAAGAUGAAAAGCACUUUGGAAAGAGAGUUAAACAGUACGUGAAAUUGUUGAAAGGGAAGCGCUUGCAACCAGACUUGCAUGUAGCUGAUCAACCGGUGUUCUCACCGGUGCACUCAGUUGCGUUCAGGCCAGCAUCGGUUUCGACGGUUGGAUAAAGGCCUUGGGAAUGUAGCUUCUCUCGGGAAGUGUUAUAGCCCAGGGUGCAAUGCAGCCUGUUGGGACCGAGGACCGCGCUUCGGCUAGGAUGCUGGCGUAAUGGUUGUAAGCGACCCGUCUUGAAACACGGACCAAGGAGUCUAACAUCUAUGCGAGUGUUUGGGUGUCAAACCCAUACGCGUAAUGAAAGUGAACGGAGGUGAGAACCCUUAAGGGUGCAUCAUCGACCGAUCCUGAUGUCUUCGGAUGGAUUUGAGUAAGAGCAUAGCUGUUGGGACCCGAAAGAUGGUGAACUAUGCCUGAAUAGGGUGAAGCCAGAGGAAACUCUGGUGGAGGCUCGCAGCGGUUCUGACGUGCAAAUCGAUCGUCAAAUUUGGGUAUAG
rnacentral:rRNA from 1 species